rnacentral:rRNA from 1 species
UAAUAUAAAUUUACUUUAUUUAUUUUUUUAGAAUUAUAGGUUUUUUAGUUUGUUUAUAAAUAAUUUUUUUUGUUAUAGUUAAUUAGUAAAGAAAUUGAAUAUUUAAGUUAAUUUUUAAGAAAAAUUUAUUUUUUGUACCUUGUGUAUCAGGGUUUAUUAAAUAAAAAUUAUAAAAUUAAUUUUCUCGAAUUAAUAAGAUUUAAUUUUCUAUAAAUUUAAUUGUUGAAUAAAUUUUUAUAAUAGAAAAUUUGAAAUGAAAUGUUAGUCGUUUUUUAAUAUAUCUAGUUCUUUAAGAAAUAAAUUUAAUUUAAUAUUUAUUUAAACAUUAUUUUUUUAUAAAAUUGGGGUUUUAAUUAAGUUUAAAUAUUUAAGGAGAUAAGUUUUUAAAUAUAUUUCUAAAAAAGUUUGUUUUAAAAAAUUAGUAUGAUUAGAAUUUUUUAUCUUUGGAAGUGUUUUAUAAUUUAUUUUUUUUUAUUAAAGAUUUUUAUAUUUUUUAGGUUUUUAUUAAAGAUUUUAAUUAAAUUUUAUAAUUUUAGAUAUAAUGAUAAAAUUAGUAUAUAUUUUUUUAUUGAGUAAUUUGUUUUGAUAGGUUAUUUUAAAGAAUUAGGCAAAAAUUUUUUCGCCUGUUUAUUAAAAACAUGUCUUUUUGAUUUAUGAUUUAAGGUUUAAUCUGCCCAGUGAAAUUUUAAAUGGCUGCGGUAUUUUGACCGUACAAAGGUAGCGUGAUAAUUAGUUUUUUUAUUGGAAACUGGUAUGAAGGAUUGGACGAGAAAAAUUCUGUUUCAAUAAAAUUUUAUUAGAAUUUUAUUUCUAAGUGAGAAAGCUUAGAUUUUUUUAUUGGACGAGAAGACCCUAUAGAGUUUAAAAUUUUAUUUUAGUAUAGAAAAAAGGUAUUCAAGUAUUUUUAAAAUUAAAUUUUUGAUUGGGGUGAUUAAAAGAUUUAAUAAACUCUUUUUUUAUUUACAGAGAUUUCUGGAAAUUUGAUCCAUUUAUUUUGAUUAUAAGAUUAAAUUACCUUAGGGAUAACAGCGUAAUUUUAUUAAAAAGUUCUUAUUAAUUAUAAAGAUUGCGACCUCGAUGUUGGAUUAAAAUUUAGUUUUGGUGCAAAAGCUGAAAUGUUGAGUCUGUUCGACUUUUAAAAUUUUACAUGAUCUGAGUUUAAACCGGUGUGAGCCAGGUUGGUUUCUAUCCUUAAAUUUUUAAAUUAUGUUAGUACGAGAGGACCAUAUAUUUUAUAAAUUAUUUA